rnacentral:tRNA from 1 species
GGGGGGGUAGCCGAGCGGUAGAGCGCAUGCCUAGUAUGGACGAGGUCCUGGGUUCAAGCCCCAGUCCCUCCA